rnacentral:rRNA from 1 species
UACGGGGGGGGCAAGCGUUGUUCGGAAUUACUGGGCGUAAAGGGCUCGUAGGCGGCCAACUAAGUCAGACGUGAAAUCCCUCGGCUUAACCGGGGGAACUGCAUCUGAUACUGGAUGGCUUGAGUUCGGGAGAGGGAUGCGGAAUUCCAGGUGUAGCGGUGAAAUGCGUAGAGAUGUGGAGGAACACCGAUGGCGAAGGCAGCCCCCUGGGUCAAGAUUGACGCUCAUGCACGAAAGCGUGGGGAGCAAACAGG